rnacentral:rRNA from 1 species
GACAGAGGUCCCGAGCGUUAGGCGGAAUCACUGGGCUUAAAGAGCGUGUAGGCGGCCAUGUAGGUCCGUUGUGAAAACUCGAGGCUCAACCUCGAGACGCCGAUGGAAACCAUGUGGCUAGAGUCCGGAAGAGGAGAGUGGAAUUCCUGGUGUAGCGGUGAAAUGCGCAGAUAUCAGGAGGAACACCGAUGGCGAAGGCAGGUCUCUGGGCCGCAACUGACGCUGAGGAGCGAAAGCAUGGGGAGCGAACAGG